rnacentral:rRNA from 1 species
UACAGAGGUCCCAAGCGUUGUUCGGAUUCAUUGGGCGUAAAGGGUGCGUAGGCGGCGCGGUAAGUCGGGUGUGAAAUCUCGGGGCUUAACUCCGAAACUGCAUUCGAUACUGCCGUGCUUGAGGACUGGAGAGGAGACUGGAAUUUACGGUGUAGCGGUGAAAUGCGCAGAUAUCGGGAGGAACACCGGUGGCGAAGGCGGUUCUCUGGGCCUUACCUGACGCUGAGGAGCGAAAGCGUGGGGAGCGAACAGG